CUACCCUUGACAUGUCAAGAAUCUUGCGGAGAUGUGAGAGUGCUCGAAAGAGAACUUGAACACAGGUGCUGCAUGGCCGUCGUCAGCUCGUGUCGUGAGAUGUUGGGUUAAGUCCCGCAACGAGCGCAACCCUUGUCAUUAGUUGCUACGAAAGGGCACUCUAAUGAGACUGCCGGUGACAAACCGGAGGAAGGUGGGGAUGACGUCAGGUCCUCAUGGCCCUUAUGGGUAGGGCUACACACGUCAUACAAUGGCCGGUACAGAGGGUUGCCAACCCGCGAGGGGGAGCCAAUCCCAGAAAACCGGUCGUAGCCCGGAUCGCAGUUUGCAACUCGACUGCGUGAAGUCGGAAUCGCUAGUAAUCGCGGAUCAGCUUGCCGCGGUGAAUACGUUCCC
rnacentral:rRNA from 1 species